rnacentral:rRNA from 1 species
CAGUAGCCGCGGUAAUGCGUAGGUGGCAAGCGUUGUCCGGAAUUAUUGGGCGUAAAGGGCUCGCAGGCGGUUUCUUAAGUCUGAUGUGAAAGCCCCCGGCUCAACCGGGGAGGGUCAUUGGAAACUGGGAAACUUGAGUGCAGAAGAGGAGAGUGGAAUUCCACGUGUAGCGGUGAAAUGCGUAGAGAUGUGGAGGAACACCAGUGGCGAAGGCGACUCUCUGGUCUGUAACUGACGCCGAGGAGCGAAAGCGUGGGGAGCGAACAGGAUUAGAUACCCCAGUAGUCCCUGUCUCUUAUAC